rnacentral:rRNA from 1 species
CAGCACCUCAAGUGGUCAGGAUGAUUAUUGGGCCUAAAGCAUCCGUAGCCGGCGCUGUAAGUUUUCGGUUAAAUCCAUACGCUCAACGUACAGGCUGCCGGGAAUACUGCAGCGCUAGGGAGUGGGAGAGGUAGACGGUACUCGGUAGGAAGGGGUAAAAUCCUUUGAUCUAUUGAUGACCACCUGUGGCGAAGGCGGUCUACCAGAACACGUCCGACGGUGAGGGAUGAAAGCUGGGGGAGCAAACCGGAUUAGAUACCCGAGUAGUCC